AUACAGAGGGUGCGAGCGUUAAUCGGAAUUACUGGGCGUAAAGCGCGCGUAGGCGGCUUAUUAAGUCAGAUGUGAAAUCCCCGGGCUCAACCUGGGAACUGCAUCUGAUACUGGUAAGCUAGAGUUUGGGAGAGGGAAGUAGAAUUUCAGGUGUAGCGGUGAAAUGCAUAGAGAUCUGAAGGAAUACCAGUGGCGAAGGCGACUUCCUGGCCUAAAACUGACGCUGAGGUGCGAAAGCGUGGGUAGCAAACGGCAUUAGAUACCCCAGUAGUCC
rnacentral:rRNA from 1 species